rnacentral:lncRNA from 1 species
GCUCAUACCAGGCAUCAUACUGCUGAAGAGCUGCAAGGAUCACUGGUACUCCCUGGUAGUUCCUGAAGAACUUGGCCAGCAGCGCCUCUACAUCAUCAUCGGAUAUAUCCUCAUCGGACAUACGCGAUGGAUCAUUAAGACCUGUGUACUCACUCCCCGAGUGAGCACGUUUCUGAAGCGGCUGGACUCUUUUCUUCAGAAAACUGGCC